AGCUUUGUGCAGUGGCAGUAUUGUAGCCAAUGAGGUUUAUCCAAGGUGCGAUUAUUGCUAAUUGAUAUAUGUAAUCAGUUUGAGACCUAGUUUGAUAGUUUGAUGCACAAACUGCAAGGAUUGUUCUGGCUACAGAAGUCUGU